UCAACAAUUGACUUGGCUAAAAAAUCAACUUGCUCGUUAGUUUAUUGGUCUCUGUUGCUCGUUUCCUAUUACGCCUACAUCUGUAUUCUCUUUGACCUACAUGCGCAGGUGUCCAAAGGAAUUGUACUUCUUUGCCUUGAUUCUUCAGUAGAAACCAACGACUCUUGAUGUUGUAUAUAAUGUAAUUCGUAUUACAAUCCAAGUUAUUAUUCUGUAAGGCACGUAAAACACUCAUGCAAUCCGUUAUAAUGAGCCAACGUUGAUCAUUUACUUGAUGAAUAUAUUGCAAUGUAAAUAAUAUUGCCAAAGCCUCAGCAGAAAAGAUACUCAACUCAGACGGAAGUUUGCGACCAAAUCCAAAAGUAAAUGAGGAAUAUAGAAAGCCAUUGAUACAUUUCUCGACUUGGAACCAUCAAACAUCCAAUUUCUUCACAAGCUUUUCAUUCGAUGCAAAACACAGAAAACCAUUUUCAAAAUGACUGCGGACAAAUGAUUUAUACAACAUUUACACAACAUGGGUCAGCACCCCAAGACAUUUUUGCAAGAAUACCAAUGGUCAAUAAUUCAGAAGCUAAUAUGUGAUGAUUGACAUUAUUAAAUGCUCCAACAAUGUCAAAGAAAAUACCUAUUAGAACUUCAUUGUUCUUGAAUGCAUUGAAAAUAUCAAAAUGUAAAUGAGAAAUACUUUCAAGACAAGAGCGGCCCUUGCGGAAUCCAAAUUGGUACGAUGGACUUUAUAUGGGAUACCAUCGAGGCCAAAGGCUUGUAUCUCGUCUAGAAGAAAUGGCUGAAUUUAACUCUGCAAAAGUAAAUGAUUUUGUAAGAUAAUCAAAACUGGAAGCAGGAAUAAGUUUAUUAUUUAAGUUUAAUUCAGCCUCAACAGUGGAAGGUGUGUAUUUUCUAAUAAAAUCAAAAAUCCAAUCUAAUCUGGUACAGGAAUUAGAGUUAGUGUUUACUUUUUGAAAAUUUUCAUAUAGUACCAUAUUCUAGAUAAAGGAGUAGUUCUGUUGAAGCUUUCACAUAAAUUUUCCCAACUUAUUUGCCUUUCUUGCUUCAGGGUCAACUUCUUAAUAGCUUACAGCUUUUAAAAAGUAAAUAAUUGGAUUUAGUUGAAUUACAUCUGAAAUUUACAUAUACAAGUUUGGCCUGUUCAACAGCCAAAGCACACCUAACAUUCCACCAAGGUAGAGGUCUUCUAUUUUUAUUAUAAUAAGUGCUGGACUGACUCUGAGAAUUAAGACGAUUCCCAACUGACAUAGACAACUCAAUAGCUGUAUCUAACAAAUUCAUUAAUUCUUCAUAUGCAUUUAAAGGAUUUUCUUCAUUAUAAUGAAAAUUAUACAUAAAACUAUCUGUGAUCGUUCUAAAUGUAUUCCAAUUAAUUUUAUGAUAGUUAUAUUGUUGAGGAUAUUGUUUACUAUCAGGCAAUAAAAUUUGUUUGUUUCUAACAAAACUUUCAAUAUCUUUAUAUAAUCGCAAGGUCAUUGGCGCCUCUUAAAGCCUUAAUACAGGUAAAUGAUAGCUUCCUUGAGGCUCAUCAUGCACGGACCAAUCACACGAAACUGCAACAUCAGAAGAAACUAUUGUAAGAUCAAGAGCAUUUUGUCGCCAUUUAUGAGAAGCUACUGUUGUCAUCUGACCAUCAUUCAGAAUUACCAACAAAUUAUCAUCUAUACAUUCUAAAACAUCAGAUCCACAAGUAUCAGAAGUCAUGCAGCCCCAACUAUGGUGCAAGGCGUUGAAGUCUCCAGCAAUAAGCAAGGGCUCAGGUAAACUUUGAAUUAGGUUAUAAAAUUUAUUUUUAGAGAAACGUGGAGAGCAUAAUUUGAGGCUGUAGAGAGAUACUAUGGUCAGUUCCUUAUUAUUACCAUAAUAUAAACGAAUUGCGAUAUUUUGAAUGGAUUUAUCGCUAAAAGUGUCUAGUUUUUUAAAAUUAAGGAUUUUAUGUACUAAAAUAGCAACGCCGUUAUGAUCGUUACCACUGUCUAAUCUCACUAUUUCAUAAUUUUUGAAACUAAUAUGAUGGUGUGGCUUCAACCAGGUCUCACAUAUAAUGGCAAUAUGAAUGCUUUUCUCAUAAAGAAAAUGUGAAAAAAUAUAAUGAUUACUUAGUAAACUCUGGGCAUUACAUUGUACAAUAUUUAUAUAAUCCAUAAAAGAGAAAAAAUUAAGAGGAAGCUUUUUGUUCUUGUUGUAUGUUUUGGAUGAGAAAAUAUUUAAUAGUUUUACUACAAAUGCUAGUUUCAUUUGAUUUGCUCAUAGUGAUAAUUUUUAUAACUGAAUCAACUAGUACUUUCAAAAAGUGAUCAGAAUCUAAAAAUGAUAUAAAUAAUUCAUUAGGACUUUUUUUCUUGCCACCUAGUGAAGGAAAUGAUUUUUCAUUGACAACGUCCACAGAUGAUCUUUUAAUUAACUUUUCUUUGUUUUGUUUAAUUUUAUCUUGCCUUACAGGGUAUUCUAGGGAAAUAGGAAUAUGACUCCCUUUGCAAUGUAUACAACAGGCAUUAGUUAGAGCUAUUGUGCAAUUCUUAUAAUUGCGAUUGCCAGCACAAAUGGAACAUUUUUCGGAGUUUUUACAAAAUUUUGCUAAGUUGCCGUAUCGGAGACAGCGUAGACACUGUUUAACUGGAGGAAUGUAUAGUGUAACCUCAAAACGCCAGCUAUUGAAGUUAACACUUUCUGGUAAAAUUUGACAAGAGAAUGUAAUACACACAGUUUGUGUUGGUUUGUAGAUUAAAUGUGUUGUCAUAAUUUUUGAUUCUUUUCAUAAUUCUUCGAAUAGAUAUUAUGUUUUUAGUGGUUGUUAGCGCAGUAUAAAUUUGUUCGUUCGAUAGAUUGAUAGGAACAUGAUAAAUAACACCAGUAGCUUCCGUGGCUGCAGCUGGUAUACUGGCUUUAAGCUUAUUCAUAUCAAGAAAUUUUUAUUUGACUGUGCAGCAUUAGCCAAAUUUGCACUAUCAAAUAUAACGCCCACCUUAUAUUUAUUCAUACGUACUAAUUACUUAAUUCCUUUAUUGUAUCUUUUCAGAUUAUUCGCAAGAAACAUCAUAUAUCUAUCCCCCAGCGGCUUGUUGUUUUCAAGGCUUUCUAAGAAUACAAUAUAUUCAACAUUACCUGAAUAUUCAGUAUACACUCUUUGGUAAUUUGGUAUUUGAAAGGUUUUGUACUUAUCCACAGCAUCAACAGAUUUGUGAGAUGAAGAAUCUGACUCCUCCAACUCGGCCUCAUCAAACCCUGUCUCAGCUUUUUUCUUACGUUUCCUUGUCCCCCCCCCCCCCCAUCUUGGACCAAUUCCUUCUUCUAGUUGUAAAUAUGUAUCAAGAUAUAAAUAUGUUAUAGUUAUGUAACUUAAAUCGUGUUCAAAUUUUUAUUAAUAAAUAAAUUAAUAAAUAAAUUAAAA
rnacentral:lncRNA from 1 species